AGUGAACGCUGGCGGUAGGCCUAACACAUGCAAGUCGAACGGCAGCACAGUAAGAGCUUGCUCUUACGGGUGGCGAGUGGCGGACGGGUGAGGAAUACAUCGGAAUCUACUUUUUCGUGGGGGAUAACGUAGGGAAACUUACGCUAUUACCGCAUACGCCCUACGGGUGAAAGCAGGGGAUCUUCGGCCCUUGCGCGUUUGAAUGACCCGAUUUCGGAUUAGCUAGUUGGCGGGGUAAAGGCCCACCAAGCCGACGAUCCGUAGCUGGUCUGAGAGGAUGAUCAGCCACACUGGAACUGAGACACGGUCCAGACUCCUACGGGAGGCAGCAGUGGGGAAUAUUGGACAAUGGGCGCAAGCCUGAUCCAGCCAUACCGCGUGGGUGAAGAAGGCCUUCGGGUUGUAAAGCCCUUUUGUUGGGAAAGAAAAGCAGCAGGUUAAUACCCCGCUGUUCUGACGGUACCCAAAGAAUAAGCACCGGCUAACUUCGUG
rnacentral:rRNA from 1 species